GCAUAUCAAUAAGCGGAGGAAAAGAAAAUAACAAUGAUUCCCCUAGUAACUGCGAGUGAAGAGGGAUAAGCUCAAAUUUUAAAUCUGUUAGGUUUUUACCUGACCGAAUUGUAAUUUGAAGAAGUGAUUUCGUGAGUGUUUGUUCGGCCCAAGUCCUUUGGGAUGAGGCAUCAUGGAGGGUGACAAUCCCGUACGGCCGUCAUUGCUCGUAUACGAUACGCUUUCAAAGAGUCAAGUUGUUUGGGAUUGCAGCUUAAAAUGGGAGGUAAAUUUCUCCUAAGGCUAAAUAUUGGCGAGAGACCGAUAGCGAACAAGUACCGUGAGGGAAAGAUGAAAAGCACUUUGAAAAGAGAGUUAAAUAGUACGUGAAAUUGUUGAAAGGGAAACGAUUGAAGCCAGUCGUACCGACGGAGAAUCAACCUUUGGAGUGUUAGUUGCGGGUAUUCGAGGAGUCUAAAAGCCUUCGUGUGCUUGCAAAUUGGUGCUUCUUGGGUGCACUUCUUCGUAUUGGUAGGUUAACAUCAAUUUUGGGCGUUACAAAAUGACCGGGGGAAUGUAGCUUCGAUUUUUCGAAGUGUUAUAGACCAAGGUAGAUGUAAUGACCGGGAUUGAGGAUUGCAACGAAUGCUUUCGGGCUAUCCGUCUGGCCUCUGAUGGUUCCCCUGGGGUCGAAAGCGUGCUUACGGCUUCAAGGCUGGGCUGUCAAAAGGUUAGAACGCGAUUAAAUUCGUUAAGGAUGUUGACGUA
rnacentral:rRNA from 1 species